rnacentral:rRNA from 1 species
CCUACGGGUGGCAGCAGUGGGGAAUAUUGGACAAUGGGGGGAACCCUGAUCCAGCGACGCCGCGUGAGUGAUGAAGUAUUUCGGUGUGUAAAGCUCUAUCAGCACGGAAGAAACUCACGGUACCUGACUAAGAAUCCCCGGCUAACUACGUGCCAGCCGCCGCGGUAAGACGUAGGGGGCAGGCGUUAUCCGGAUUUACUGGGUGUAAAGGGAGCGUAGACGGUGCAGCAGGUCUGAUGUGAACGGUCGGGGCCCAACCCCGGGACUGCAGUGGAAACUGUGGAACUGGAGUACAGGAGAGGCAAGCGGAAUUCGUAGUGUAGCGGUGAAAUGCGUAGAUAUUAGGAGGAACCCCAGUGGCGAAGGCGGCUUACUGGACUGGAACUGACGUUGAGGCUCGAAAGCGUGGGGAGCAAACAGGAUUAGAUACCCUAGUAGUC